UACGGAGGAUGCGAGCGUUAUCCGGAUUUAUUGGGUUUAAAGGGUGCGCAGGCGGAUUUUUAAGUCAGCGGUCAAAUCGUGGGGCUCAACCCCAUCCAGCCGUUGAAACUGGGGAUCUAGAGUGUGCGAGAGGUAUGCGGAAUGCGUGGUGUAGCGGUGAAAUGCAUAGAUAUCGCGCAGAACCCCGAUUGCGAAGGCAGCCUGCCGGCCCCACACUGACGCUGAGGCACGAAAGCGUGGGGAGCAAACAGG
rnacentral:rRNA from 1 species